UUCACAUUAGGGUCACACAAUCAAUUACCUCCUGAAUGUAUCAUCUCUAUUUUCAAUAUCUGAACACACAAGGAAACUAUAAUCUCCUCCUUCACCUUAUCGGUCUCUUCCUUACAGUAAUUUAGUCAUAUCAAUAAUUGCUAUUUCUACCAAUAUAUUCACCCUCAUAAUCUCCAACUGUAAUACUGUGCCUUCAGAGCUUUCAAUACACAAUUACCUUCAUUCCAAUCGCUGAAAUUCUUCACACAGAACUGCCAUUCAUAUUACGGUGUUUUACACAAACACAGACUCAUUCUCUCUGCUGAACUACAAUCAGAUUUCAGUAUUUAAUCUUUCUUCUUCUCAAAUAAUAUCAAUCACAUUUCCAUUCCAUAAUUCACUUCACAAUAUUCAAAAACUCUCAAUCCUCUUAUUCAAAGAAAAUAACAAACAAAAAAAAAGAGGUAGCACCAAGCUUACCCCGGCUCACACUAUCAUAGCCAUGGCCUUCGGCUCAUGACUAUCACAGUCUGGCAUCUUAAUUAACUUCUACAACUCCUAUAUACUUUCCCCUGAUUCUUCAGAUUCUAAUCGUAAUUCUAUAAUUAACAGCUUUUAAGAACUAAAUCACUCAUCUAUCCUCAUGAAUUUUCUAUUAUAUAGACUAUUAAUAUAAUUUACUAAUAACUUUUAAAAACAAAUUAAUAACUAUUCUACAUAGCCUCAUUCCUAUCCAUGCAGUAUCCUCACAAACACUCAAUUGAUACCUAUUUAAAAAUUAUCUAACAAAAUU
rnacentral:lncRNA from 1 species